UGCCACAGCCAUAUCACCCUGCAGCUCAAGACUGGUUACUCACUACUGCUAAGCAGGGCUGAGCCUGGUCAGUACCUGGAUGGGAGACCACAUGGGAAAACUAGGUUGCUGUCGGAA
rnacentral:rRNA from 1 species